GUCCUAGCCCUAAACGAUGUUCAUUAGAUGUGGGAGGUAUCGACCCCUUCCGCGUCGGCGCUAACGCAUUAAAUGAACCGCCUGGGGAGUACGGCCGCAAGGUUGAAACUCAAAGGAAUUGACGGGGGCCCGCACAAGCUGUGGAGUAUGUGGUUUAAUUCGACGCAACGCGAAGAACCUUACCUGGGCUUGAACUACUCGUGUUAGGUACUCGAAAGAGUGGCUGACCCGCAAGGGAGCGAGCAGAGGUGCUGCAUGGUUGUCGU
rnacentral:rRNA from 1 species